rnacentral:snRNA from 1 species
CCAAUACAGAGAAGUGUAGCAUGGCCCCUAUGCAAGGAUGACAUGCAAAUUCGUGAAAUGUUCCAUAUUAAA